rnacentral:rRNA from 1 species
CCCGGUCUAACCACCGGGAUGUUCAUAACCCUUUGUUGUCCGACUCUGUUGCCUCCGGGGCGACCCUGCCUUCGGGCGGGGGCUCCGGGUGGACACUUCAAACUCUUGCGUAACUUUGCAGUCUGAGUAAACUUAAUUAAUAAAUUAAAACUUUUAACAACGGAUCUCUUGGUUCUGGCAUCGA